rnacentral:misc_RNA from 1 species
CCGAGUUUACAACUCCCAAACCCCUGUGAACAUACCACUUGUUGCCUCGGCGGAUCAGCCCGCUCCCGGCUAAAACGGGACGGCCCGCCAGAGGACCCCUAAACUCUGUUUCUAUAUGUAACUUCUGAGUAAAACCAUAAAUAAAUCA